rnacentral:miRNA from 1 species
GGUUAACUUGCAUUUUAUUUACACAAUUCUCAAAUAUAAUUUAUUUUACACUAACCCUCUUUUGUACUAUAUUUACACCAUACCCUAAUUAUACUCCAUUUACAUCAACGUCAAAUUUUAUUUCUUUUACAUCAUACCCUUAAUAAUAAGUGUAUGAUGUAAAAGAAAUAAAAUUUGAGGUUGAUGUAAAUGGAGUAUAAUUAGGGUAUGGUGUAAAUAUAAUACAAAAGAGGGUUCGUGUAAAAUAAAUUAUAUUUGAGUAUGGUGUAAAUAAAAUGUAAGUUAACC